UUUGUAAUAACUGCAGAUCUUGCUAUCCACACAAAUAUCAUGCAGCCAAAAGAAACUUGGGAUCGUAGUACUGGUCUAGUGUUGUCUCUUAUGACACACCUACCACUGGCCAGCCUCCAAAUUCCCGCACACAG